AUUGAACGCUGGCGGCAGGCCUAACACAUGCAAGUCGAGCGGAGCGGCGGACGGGUGCGUAUUGCCUAGGAAUCUGCCUGGUCGUGGGGGAUAACGUCCGGAAACGGGCGCUAAUACCGCAUACUAUCAGAUGAGCCUAGGUCGGAUUAGCUAGUUGGUGGGGUAAAGGCCUACCAAGGCGACGAUCCGUAACUGGUCUGAGAGGAGGAUCAGUCACACUGGAACUGAGACACGGUCCAGACUCCUACGGGAGGCAGCAGUGGGGAAUAUUGGACAAUGGGCGAAAGCCUGAUGCAGCCAUGCCGCGUGUGUGAAGAAGGUCUUCGGAUUGUAAAGCACUUUAAGUGGGGAGGCGUUACCCGCAGAAUAAGCACCGGCUAACUUCGUGCCAGCAGCCGCGGUAAUAC
rnacentral:rRNA from 1 species